rnacentral:lncRNA from 12 species
AGGACUAGCACGGAGGGAGCUGGGAGUGCUGAGCUCUGCCUAGUCCAGCCUUGCCUGGAGCUGCCUGACCUCCCACCCGUAGAAAGGCAUCCCCCAAAGCCCCUUUUCUGUACUUCCAGCAGGGUCCUGACCAUAGCACAUUCCCAGACUGAGUCCCCAGUGCUCUCCCUGCUCCCAGACCUGGUCUCAUGGGUGUCUGCAGCCUCCAGAGCUGCCCUGACUCGCUUGCAAAAGGCCCUUCUGCCUCCUGUGCUGGAGGCAAUAAUGCCUCUAGUGGGUACCAGUGGGACUGGUCACGUUUCCUGUGUCAUGUGCUGUCCAUGACGGAUGGCAGAGCCAGUUUUUCUGCUCCAAAAGUGGGACUGGGGAGGAGACCGCAACACUCAAAUACCCAGAGCCCUGCUUGCUGCCAGCCAGCCAUCGAGGAGAUCACUUCUUUUACAGCUCCAGGUCCUCUCUGUUCCGUAGGUGUGACUGUCUCGUGCCCCAGAGCUCUUUGGCUUUGGUAAAAUGUCAACAAUCCUGAAAU